rnacentral:rRNA from 1 species
UGCUACAGGCUUAACACAUGCAAGUCGAGGGGCAGCAUGGUCUUAGCUUGCUAAGGCCGAUGGCGACCGGCGCACGGGUGAGUAACACGUAUCCAACCUGCCGUCUACUCUUGGACAGCCUUCUGAAAGGAAGAUUAAUACAAGAUGGCAUCAUGAGUCCGCAUGUUCACAUGAUUAAAGGUAUUCCGGUAGACGAUGGGGAUGCGUUCCAUUAGAUAGUAGGCGGGGUAACGGCCCACCUAGUCUUCGAUGGAUAGGGGUUCUGAGAGGAAGGUCCCCCACAUUGGAACUGAGACACGGUCCAAACUCCUACGGGAGGCAGCAGUGAGGAAUAUUGGUCAAUGGGCGAGAGCCUGAACCAGCCAAGUAGCGUGAAGGAUGACUGCCCUAUGGGUUGUAAACUUCUUUUAUAAAGGAAUAAAGUCGGGUAUGGAUACCCGUUUGCAUGUACUUUAUGAAUAAGGAUCGGCUAACUCCGUGCCAGCAGCCGCGGUAAUACGGAGGAUCCGAGCGUUAUCCGGAUUUAUUGGGUUUAAAGGGAGCGUAGAUGGAUGUUUAAGUCAGUUGUGAAAGUUUGCGGCUCAACCGUAAAAUUGCAGUUGAUACUGGAUAUCUUGAGUGCAGUUGAGGCAGGCGGAAUUCGUGGUGUAGCGGUGAAAUGCUUAGAUAUCACGAAGAACUCCGAUUGCGAAGGCAGCCUGCUAAGCUGCAACUGACAUUGAGGCUCGAAAGUGUGGGUAUCAAACAGGAUUAGAUACCCUGGUAGUCCACACGGUAAACGAUGAAUACUCGCUGUUUGCGAUAUACAGCAAGCGGCCAAGCGAAAGCGUUAAGUAUUCCACCUGGGGAGUACGCCGGCAACGGUGAAACUCAAAGGAAUUGACGGGGGCCCGCACAAGCGGAGGAACAUGUGGUUUAAUUCGAUGAUACGCGAGGAACCUUACCCGGGCUUAAAUUGCAGAUGAAUUACGGUGAAAGCCGUAAGCCGCAAGGCAUCUGUGAAGGUGCUGCAUGGUUGUCGUCAGCUCGUGCCGUGAGGUGUCGGCUUAAGUGCCAUAACGAGCGCAACCCUUGUUGUCAGUUACUAACAGGUUCCGCUGAGGACUCUGACAAGACUGCCAUCGUAAGAUGUGAGGAAGGUGGGGAUGACGUCAAAUCAGCACGGCCCUUACGUCCGGGGCUACACACGUGUUACAAUGGGGGGUACAGAGGGCCGCUACCACGCGAGUGGAUGCCAAUCCCAAAAACCUCUCUCAGUUCGGACUGGAGUCUGCAACCCGACUCCACGAAGCUGGAUUCGCUAGUAAUCGCGCAUCAGCCACGGCGCGGUGAAUACGUUCCCGGGCCUUGUACACACCGCCCGUCAAGCCAUGGGAGCCGGGGGUACCUGAAGUGCGUAACCGCGAGGAGCGCCCUAGGGUAAAACUGGUGACUGGGG